UACGUAGGUGGCAAGCGUUAUCCGGAAUUAUUGGGCGUAAAGCGCUCGCAGGCGGUUUCUUAAGUCUGAUGUGAAAGCCCACGGCUCAACCGUGGAGGGUCAUUGGAAACUGGGAGACUUGAGUGCAGAAGAGGAGAGUGGAAUUCCACGUGUAGCGGUGAAAUGCGUAGAGAUGUGGAGGAACACCAGUGGCGAAGGCGACUCUCUGGUCUGUAACUGACGCUGAGGAGCGAAAGCGUGGGGAGCAAACAGG
rnacentral:rRNA from 2 species